UACGGAGGGUGCAAGCGUUGUUCGGAAUUACUGGGCGUAAAGGGCGCGUAGGCGGUCUGCUAAGUUGGAUGUGAAAACUCUGGGCUUAACCCAGAGCCUGCAUUCAAUACUGACAGGCUAGAGUUCUGGAGGGGAUAGCGGAAUUCCUGGUGUAGCGGUGAAAUGCGUAGAUAUCAGGAGGAACACCGGUGGCGAAGGCGGCUAUCUGGACAGAAACUGACGCUGAGGCGCGAAAGCUAGGGGAGCAAACAGG
rnacentral:rRNA from 1 species